CAUGUCGGAGAGCUUGUGUUUGAGAAUUGUGUCUCUGGACAACCUCCCAAGCAGCUGCUUGAAAUAAAGCUAUCUACUCAAAGCAUCAAUUCUGUGUCUUGAGAGUGUUGGUGUAGAGGACCUCAAAGUAUUGAACUAAGCAGGGGCAUGCCCAGUUGGGCUCCUGCAACAAUUGGAGGUUCCACCGAGGUUCUGGGACAUUCCCAACUCCUGCCCAAGGAGGCCUAGGACGGAGGAACGGAGGCACGCCGACUAAAAAGCCGCUUAGAUUGCUGCGGUGAUAAGACCAGCGCCUUAAGGAGACGCCAAGCAUAUCUGCACUCUGCAGAAACAUGGACCAGGAAAGGGCUGAGUUGGCAAACACCACACCCACCACGCGAAACUUUGCGGUCAUCCAUCGGUUGUUAUGGCUCUGAAGUAGCAAGGACAACAUGACUGAUGCUCAAAAGUAAUUAACGAGAAUACCAAGACGCCCAAAAUGAAAUAGAAGACAAAAUGUACUUAUCUCUUAGUUCAAAAUGAAAGGGGAUGUUCUUGUAAUCCAGUCUAUGGGACUCCCAGCGGCCUGGGCUGUGGUUCCUGAGAUGCUAAUUAGUAUGAUCUAAGCCGGAUGCGUGCAAAGUUUGCACUUUCGGAGGGUGGAUCAAGCUGUCGAUGGUCUGAAAGAAAACAUAUAAAAGUCACUGCCCCAGAAGGUCUUCUUAACAGUGUCAUUCACCAACUCUUGUCUCCGGAAUAUCUGCUCUUCCUACUCUAGCCCCUUAGAUUGCUGUGGUGAUAAACCAUAAGAGGAGCGCCUUAAGGAGACGCCAAGUAUAUCUGCAGUCUGCAGAAACAUGGACCAGGAGAGGGCUGAGUUGGCAAACGCCACACACUCCACACGAAACUUUGCGGUCAUCCAGCAGUUGUUAUGGCUCUGAAGCAGGAAGGACCACACGAAUGAUGCUCAAAGGCAAUUGACGAGAACGCCAAGACGCCCAAAAUGAAAUAGAAGACAAAACGUACUUAUCUCUUAGUUCAAAAUCAAACGGAAUGUUCUUGGAACCCAAUCUAUGGGACUCCCAGAGACCUGGGCUGUGAUUACGCUAAUUACGCUAAUUAGUAUGAUCUAAGCCGGAUGCGUGCAAAGUUUGCACUUUCGGAGGGUGGAUCAAGCUGUCGAAGGUCUGAAAGAAAACAUAUAAAAGUCACUGCCCCAGAAGGUCUUCUUAACAGUGUCAUUCACCAACUCUUGUCUCCGGAAUAUCUGCUCUUCCUACUCUAGCUGCUUUCUGGACUGGAACGUCAUCUAUCAACUUUGGAGUGAUGGAUUCACAGCCACGGAUAAUAGUCCGUCCUAUUCCUGUUUUUGUUCAUCGCGUGUCUAUUGGAAUCCCCAAAGCGAUUUUGGAUGCUAUCAGACCCCCAUUCCUCCUGUGCAACAACCCUGCCCAGAAAUGUGAAGGGUUCUCAGGCCUUAGCUUUCCUUACGCUUUAUCUGAAAUUCAUUUCCAACCGCUGAUGCAACCAAACUCAUUUCUUUACAAUCCGAGCACAAGCUCACAUCUCCUCUAGUGACAGCUGUGCAGGAUGAGCUGACCCCUUCAUUGAAUGGGAACAUGAUCAUCACAGGAAUGGAAUGAAAUGGUACCCGAAUUGCACAAAAUGGAUUCACAGCUGAUGAUUGUAUGGGUGUUUGUGCCAGAAAUGUUGAGCCUCCCCAUCCAGAUAAACAAGAGUAGACUGGAUCUAUGAUUGCUCAUCACCUCUGACACCUACAACUGCCUGCUCAAAGCUUCAUUUAGGUUUCCCUCCAAUUCUCUUAGUUAUGGACCUUUUUUCUUCCUUUCUUUCAAGGCAACCUGAAGACACUUUGACCAAAAUGCAAGGGAUCCCAAAUUCACUUAUCAUUCUUUGAUGGAUCUCUGAAUAUUUCUCAGGUCUGCAAGGUUUAUGGUGCUUCCGCUUUCCUGAGAAGAUCUGUUUUUUCACUGUGUACCUAUGCCUUGUCUCAUUUUACUCCUCAUUCAUCUGUCAUUUCACUCUUCUGCACAAAAUGUAUUGUUCACCUGUUGAAGCUGCUCAUCAUAGAAAUGCUUUUGUGAACUCCUCUUCCCCCUGCAAUAAACCUCAUCUAUCUGCAUCAAAA